GGAAAUUACCAUGGCGUGCAAAUCGCAGAGCCGUGCCGUGCAGGUAGGGCUAGGGUGGUCGUUGGGAUCUCUGAAUCUCUGACACCGACGCUCCUCUCCGCUGACCUCGCGGAGGAGAAGGGGAGGGAGAGAGCGCGGGGACUGAGGAAUCGGGUUUCAGUUGGGCGGCGAACACCGGCGAUUAGCAAGGCAUGAUUCAUACAGCCACCUAGUAUGGCCUCAAAAGCUAUAAAAAGAAGGCCUUGCAGUUCUGAAUCUGAUCAAACAAGUGAAAAAACAAUGGAGACAACAGUAUCAGAUCCUGUAACAGAACCUCUUCUGGGAAAUGGUCCUCAUGAAGAAAAAACCAAGAGAUAUGAGCCUGCUACACGGUCAGAUUUCUGGGAUGGGACAAGAGAGGAGUGCCUUCGUUGGGCGCAUCUUCUGUCGAUUUUUAUUGCUCAAUCUGCAAGAAAGAUAGUAAAUGUUCUUUCUGAAUUUGGAUCUUUGAUUGCAAGGCUUUUUGGUUGCUCUUCUGCUCCCCAAAGUUCACAAAAUGGACAGACAGUUCCACUUAAUCUCAGUCCAUUACAGGUAGAAAGAUUGAAAUUGUUGAGACAAAGGUUAGAUGUGCCAUAUGACUGCUCCUCUGUCAAGCACCAGGAUGCUCUGAAAGAGCUUUGGAGGUUAGCUUAUCCUAACCGACAACUUCCUCCUCUAAAAUCAGAUCUGUGGAAGGAGAUGGGCUGGCAAAACUCUGACCCAUCAACAGAUUUUAGGGCAGGUGGGUUCAUGUCCUUGGAGAACCUAAUAUACUUUGCCAGAAAUUAUCCAGAUUCCUUUCAUAGGUUACUACACAAGGCCGAGGGUAAGAGAGCUAAGUGGGAGUAUCCUUUUGCAGCAGGUGGUGUAAACAUAUCUUAUAUGUUAGUUCAAAUGCUGGAUUUACAAUCAGGAAAAAUUAGUACAAAAGCUGGUGUCCACUUCGUUCAACUACUUGAAGAUGACGAGGCGGCCUUCGAUAACCUUUUUUGUGUAGCAUUUCAGGUGCUUGAUGCUCAAUGGCUUGCAAGGCGAGCUAGUUAUAUGCAAUUCAAUGAGGUUCUGAAGUCUACACGAGUUCAAUUAGAGAAAGAGCUUACUAUGGGGUGCAUUUCUAGCGUUCAAGACUUGCCAUCAUUCAGAAUGCUGAAAAGGUAGUUAUGUUUGUACUUAGCAGGAAAAGAGAUACUUUUACGCCGUGAAUAGGUUGUUUAAAUUUGCUUUCCAUUCUUUUACUGGACGAUGCCUCGAAAAGAAUUUACUUAUCAUCAAGUUUUGACAUUGGUAUGUGAUACUGGUGUAUGCUCCACCUCAUAUAUGCCUUGGGGGGAACUCGUCAUCAAGUUCCUAUUAUCUUUUAAGUA